CACCUACGGGUGGCAGCAGUGGGGAAUUUUGGACAAUGGGCGCAAGCCUGAUCCAGCAAUGCCGCGUGCAGGAUGAAGGCCUUCGGGUUGUAAACUGCUUUUGUACGGAACGAAAAGGCUCUGGUUAAUACCUGGGGCUCAUGACGGUACCGUAAGAAUAAGCACCGGCUAACUACGUGCCAGCAGCCGCGGUAAUACGUAGGGUGCGAGCGUUAAUCGGAAUUACUGGGCGUAAAGCGUGCGCAGGCGGUAAUGCAAGACAGAUGUGAAAUCCCCGGGCUUAACCUGGGAACUGCAUUUGUGACUGCAUUGCUGGAGUGCGGCAGAGGGGGAUGGAAUUCCGCGUGUAGCAGUGAAAUGCGUAGAUAUGCGGAGGAACACCGAUGGCGAAGGCAAUCCCCUGGGCCUGCACUGACGCUCAUGCACGAAAGCGUGGGGAGCAAACAGGAUUAGAUACCCUGGUAGUCCACGCCCUAAACGAUGUCAACUGGUUGUUGGGUCUUAACUGACUCAGUAACGAAGCUAACGCGUGAAGUGACCGC
rnacentral:rRNA from 1 species